rnacentral:tRNA from 1 species
GACCUUGUGGCGCAGCGGUAGCGCGUCUGACUCCAGAUCAGAAGGUUGUGUGUUCAAGUCUCAUCAAGGUCC